CAUCGAUCCACCCCCUGCAAUGGGGAGUUGGGGAGGAGAGGACAAGACUAGAAAGGACUAGAUGGAGCAAAUGGAGUGGAUCCAGCUUCCCCUCUAAUCAACCAUGUUUCAGAAUCAGGAGUGACCAAGUUGGUCACUUGAGCUAUAAUGGAGACUAGAGAUGAGGUUAUGGGCAUUCUUCUGGAG
rnacentral:lncRNA from 1 species